UUUCCAACAGAAAGCCCUUAGGGACUGACUAUACUCACCAGAACACGUACAAUAAGCUGUAGUCAGGGCCGGUGCUUGGAUUUUUAGGUACAUAGGCGAAGAUGCAUUUCGCCCCCCCACACCCCACCCCCAAAAACUUCACCUAUGUGCCUCUUAACCAGCCCCUCUCCCCUCCCCGACCAUUAGUGGUCCCUUCCCUUCCCUGUCCCUUAGUGUUCUUC